GAUGAACGCUGGCGGCGUGCCUAAUACAUGCAAGUCGAGCGAACGGACGAGAAGCUUGCUUCUCUGAUGUUAGCGGCGGACGGGUGAGUAACACGUGGAUAACCUACCUAUAAGACUGGGAUAACUUCGGGAAACCGGAGCUAAUACCGGAUAAUAUUUUGAACCGCAUGGUUCAAAAGUGAAAGACGGUCUUGCUGUCACUUAUAGAUGGAUCCGCGCUGCAUUAGCUAGUUGGUAAGGUAACGGCUUACCAAGGCAACGAUGCAUAGCCGACCUGAGAGGGUGAUCGGCCACCCUGGAACUGAGACACGGUCCAGACUCCUACGGGAGGCAGCAGUAGGGAAUCUUCCGCAAUGGGCGAAAGCCUGACGGAGCAACGCCGCGUGAGUGAUGAAGGUCUUCGGAUCGUAAAACUCUGUUAUUAGGGAAGAACAUAUGUGUAAGUAACUGUACACAUCUUGACGGUACCUAAUCAGAAAGCCACGGCUAACUACGUG
rnacentral:rRNA from 1 species